rnacentral:lncRNA from 1 species
GACACCAAGUCCACAAAAUUAUAUUUUCUUCUUGCAUGCAUAUAUAAUACACGUUCAACAUCUUACCUUCUAACUAGUAGAAUAGUAUGGUGUGUUGCUUCAUAGUUUAUAGAUAUGAAUGUUCCUAGCUAUAUAAUUUCACUACUAAAAAGCAAUGAAUCAGUGACUAAGUUUAGUGGAGAAAAGAACUGUUUUUUCUUUAUCAACUCUGGUGUCACUAAAUUAUAGUGACCAAUUUUUUUAAAAUUUAUAUAUAUAAAUUAUUUCUUCACUAGUUUUAAUUUUUCUAGUGAUAUAAAGGGAAAAAAAUAUUUUUUGUUAUCAUUGAUAUGAAAUAUUUUUUGAAGGGAUGAUGUGAUACCUGAAAUACCGGCGGUGCAGUAAACAAGGAUGAAGAUCAUGCCACCAAAGGCCCAAGCGAUGCCCAAAAUGCCAACCCCAUCACAGUCGGUGCCACCUACCGUUGUAUCAGUCUGCCUUUUGUAGCCAAUAAUGGUGAGCACAGUGACAUAAAGGAAGAGAAGGGUUGCUAUGAACUCAGCGAUGAGGGCUCUAUAGAAGGACCACUGUGUGAGCUCCUCUGGGUCGAACAAAGGUGCUGGAGGAGGGUCAUGGUAGUCUUUGGCAGAGUACUCUCCUCCUUGCUCUUGAACCUCAACAUCUUUAGCCAUUUCUCAAUUCUCACAGAGC